rnacentral:rRNA from 1 species
CUAUUUACUGUGACUUNCAGAAUUCAGUGAAUCAUCGACUCUUUGAACGCACCUUGCG